rnacentral:misc_RNA from 1 species
AACUUUUAGCAAUGGAUCACUUGGCUCUCGCAUCGAUGAAGAACGCAGCGAAAUGCGGUAAGUAAUGUGAAUUGCAGAAUUCAGUGAAUCAUCGAAUCUUUGAACGCACCUUGCGCUCCUUGGUAUUCCGAGGAGCAUGCCUGUUUGAGUGUCAUUAAAUUCUCAACCUUAUUGGCUUUUGCUGAUAAUGGAUUGGAUGUGGGGGACUCUUUUGCUGGCUUCUUCGCAGAGGUCAGCUCCCCUUAAAUGCAUUAGCUGGUGCCCCGCGUGGACCAUCUAUUGGUGUGAUAAUUAUCUACGCCGUGGAUGUCUGCAAUCAUAUGGGUUUUGCACUGCUUCUAACCGUCUGUUCAUUCGGACAAUACAUGACAAUUUGACCUCAAAUCAGGUAGGACUACCCGCUGAACUUAAGCAUAUCAAUAAGCGGAGGCU